AUACGGAGGGUGCGAGCGUUAAUCGGAAUUACUGGGCGUAAAGCGUGCGUAGGCGGUUGAUUUAGUCAGAUGUGAAAGCCCCGGGCUCAACCUGGUAACUGCAUUUGAAACUGGUCAACUGGAGUAUGGUAGAGGGGGGUAGAAUUUCUGGUGUAGCGGUGAAAUGCGUAGAUAUCAGAAGGAAUACCGAUGGCGAAGGCAGCCCCCUGGACCAAUACUGACGCUGAGGUACGAAAGCGUGGGGAGCAAACAGGAUUAGAAACCCCAGUAGUCC
rnacentral:rRNA from 1 species